rnacentral:tRNA from 1 species
GCAGGAGUGGCGGAAUGGCAGACGCGCAUGGUUCAGGUCCAUGUGAUAGCAAUAUCAUGAGGGUUCAAGUCCCUUCUCCUGCA